rnacentral:misc_RNA from 1 species
GAACGCACAUUGCGCCCACUAGUAUUCUGGUGGGCAUGCCUGUUCGAGCGUCAUUACGACCCUUAAGCCUCAGUUGCUUAGUGUUGGGGGCUCGCCGUAAUUGGCGACCCCUUAAAGACAUCGGCGGAGUCGAGAUGGAACUCUGAGCGUAGUAAAUCUUUUCUCGCUUUUGAAGUCCUCACGGCCCUAGCCGCUAAACCUUAUGACCUAGUCAUCUAGUGGUUGACCUCGGAUCAGGUAGGAAUACCCGCUGAACUUAAG